ensembl:snoRNA SNORD68 small nucleolar RNA, C/D box 68
UGAUGACAAAUCUCCGGAAUCGCUGUAUUUGCUUGAUGAAUACAUUGAACCCAUUUUCUGAUGGCUGCUAUUUGUUAUU